CCCUAUGGGGUGCCCGGGAGUGUGACGUGACGACGAUCGACGGCGGCGUGAUCCGGUUCUUCGAGGUAAGCUAAACCAGGCGUGUAUAAAUGAGCCCCGCCCACCUUGCGGUGGGCGGGGCGAUUCGCAUGAUACAGGUUUUCGUUACUUAGCAGCUUCCGGCGUGAAGGCAGGGAUGACGCCGCCUUUGUAGUUCUCGUUGUUCAGGAUGAAGUCGUACACCUUGGACGACUGCAGCACCUGCUGAAGCGCCUUGAGGAAGUCGGCGUCGGCGUCCGCCUUGCG
rnacentral:rRNA from 1 species